rnacentral:rRNA from 1 species
UAGGGAAUCUUCGGCAAUGGACGGAAGUCUGACCGAGCAACGCCGCGUGAGUGAAGAAGGUUUUCGGAUCGUAAAGCUCUGUUGUUAGAGAAGAACGUUGGUAGGAGUGGAAAAUCUACCAAGCGACGGUAACUAACCAGAAAGGGACGGCUAACUACGUGCCAGCAGCCGCGGUAAUACGUAGGUCCCGAGCGUUGUCCGGAUUUAUUGGGCGUAAAGCGAGCGCAGGCGGUUCUUUAAGUCUGAAGUUAAAGGCAGUGGCUUAACCAUUGUAAGCUUUGGAAACUGGAGGACUUGAGUGCAGAAGGGGAGAGCGGAAUUCCAUGUGUAGCGGUGAAAUGCGUAGAUAUAUGGAGGAACACCGGUGGCGAAAGCGGCUCUCUGGUCUGUAGCUGACGCUGAGGCUCGAAAGCGUGGGGAGCAAACAGG